AAACCUCGGAGACACCCUGCGCUCACCGAGAGUGCGGGCAUUCCUUGCCAGCCAGAUCUGAAGUGCUGUGCAAGUAGCUCUAAUGCCCUCCUCACGGGUCCGUAAACUGGCUAACCACUGUCGUAUCACCCGGAGAAACUGAAGCCGCUCACUCCGGGCCUCCUGCGGGAUCCCUGCCCACUGCCAUGUCGACCUCGCCCAUGUGCACUGGAAGAUAACGUGGUCCACUGACUCCGCAGCUCCACACGUCCCGCACUCAGCCCGGGAC
rnacentral:lncRNA from 1 species